rnacentral:rRNA from 1 species
UACGUAGGGUGCGAGCGUUGUCCGGAAUUAUUGGGCGUAAAGAGCUCGUAGGCGGUGUGUCACGUCGGCCGUGAAAACUCACAGCUUAACUGUGGGCGUGCGGGCGAUACGGGCAGACUGGAGUACUGCAGGGGAGACUGGAAUUCCUGGUGUAGCGGUGGAAUGCGCAGAUAUCAGGAGGAACACCGGUGGCGAAGGCGGGUCUCUGGGCAGUAACUGACGCUGAGGAGCGAAAGCGUGGGUAGCAAACAGG